GACGAACGCUGGCGGCGGGCUUAACACAUGCAAGUCGAACGGAAAGGCCCUGCUUUCGUGGGGUUCUCGAGUGGCGAACGGGUGAGUAACACGUGAGCAACCUGCCCUUGACUUUGGGAUAACUUCAGGAAACUGGGCCUAAUACCGGAUAGCAGCCGCUGCUCCAUGGUGGGGGUUGGAAAGUCUCGGCGGUUGCGGUUGGACGCGCGGCUUACGGGCUUGUUGGUGGGCUAGUGGCAUGCCAAGCGUUUGACGGGUACGCGGCCUGGGAGGGUGACCGGCCACAUUGCGCCUGCGGUACGGCCCAGUGUCCUACGGGGGGCAGCGGUGGGGAAUAUUGCACAGUGGGCGCGCGUCUGAUACGGCGACGCCGCGUGCGGGAUGACGGCUUUCGGGUUGUGAACCGCUUUCGCCUGUGACGACGCGUGUGUGACGGUAAUGGGUGAAGAAGCACCGGCUAACUACGUG
rnacentral:rRNA from 1 species